rnacentral:lncRNA from 1 species
CCCCCCUCCCAAUCCUCUUGUGACUUCAUCGAUGACCCCCUCACCUACGUCAUCACCAGAGUAAGGCCAAAAAUCAAUAGUGAGUAUUACCUACCUUUUUCUCUCUCGCUUUUCCUUCCCUUUCUCCUCCUAUUGCUCUUCUUCUCUUGUCACUAUACCCCCAUCGGCAAUCCCUCUUUAUCCAUCUUCUUUGUCUCUCUCUCACUCUUUCCCCCAUCUUUCUCUCUUUUUCCUUUCUUGCUCCUAUUUUCACUCCCUUAUCCUCUCUUUCUCAUGCCGUAUUUGCCCGGAUCCAAAUAGGGAAGCACUUCAGUGGCAUUUUCUAGUAUCUGUCACUUUUUACGGCCCAAGAGUCUGCCGUUUAUUGAGUAUUUCAGGUACCUAUCUACGAGAGACUCGGAGAAGCUGAGCAUGAGGCAAACGUGCAGGCGGAUGUUUGAUUUGCAACGGAUGGCAGUAAAAGUGGUAGCGGUGUGUGUAAGGUCGGAAUUGAUUUAUUGGGUGUAACAGAGUAGCCCCAAUAUUGGUUGGUGUUCGGAAAAAGGCCGGUGGGAGUUGGAAGGAAGAACCUCAGUCUCUGCGACCUUGAGUGCCCACUAAGUUGAAUUUUCAUGUUCUAUUCUCAGAAGUUGGUACUUCCCACUUUCCUAUUUCUCUUCUUUGUGUUAGUUAAAUUGUUCUUAUUUUAGUUCGCAUUAGUUAAUCUUACUGUUAGUGUGCCUGUAGUAACAACUUGUUUUAUUCUAGUUUGGUCUGUUGCUUUUUUUCUUAGCAGUUUCCCUUAGUCUGUUGUAGGUAUAGUGGUUAUGGUUUAGGAUAGUAAAGUAAGGUCAAGUCCUCGGGGUGGGCGGGAGUGGGUGGGGAAAGGGACAAGGGGUGGGACAGGAGGCAAUGAGGGUAAAGGGAGCCUAUAGGUAGAGAACAUAGACCGGUCCAACAUAAUAUAUUGGAGUUCGAUGCACCUAUGUAUGAACUUCCCGCAUAUUAUACUGGACCGGUAUACAUUGCUGGCUCUAGUAUAAUAUGCUGGAGACUGAAGCACCGGUGCUCCAAAAUCCAGUAUAUUAUGCUGGACCAGUAUAUUAUACUGAAACUCUAUUAUAUUAGAUUGGGGUUCUAGUAUAUUAUGCUGGAGUAUUUUUUCGGAUUUUGAAUAGUGCUUUCGUUCAGAUUUAUCUUUACAUAAAAAAAUAACUAAAUUUCGAUUACUUUUAAACUGUGACUAUUUUUGAAUGACCACUUGUAAAUCGUGCUAUUUUUAAAUUUCUCUCUCAAUGUGCAGAGCACUGGUCAUAUAUGUUUUGAACUUUACGACUUAAAUUGUCUGUUUUAUACGUUUCAGGAAUGUUCUUACGCACCUUCCGCCUGCUACUCCACCCUUUGCGUUUCAAAAGCUUUUAUGUUUAAAAUUUAUUUAAGUAUCUGACCAUAACCUAUAUGAUAUGUUUUAUAAUUAAGAAGUUCAUGACAUAAAUAUUAUCAUGUAAAUAUAUAUAGUAUUACAAAUGGAUAGUUACGUCGAUUUUUCUUCACGUUCUUUUCUUUGAAUCCUAAACUUUGAUUACAUUUUUCUGUAUUUCUUAUAUUUAAUCUAUUUUAUGUGCCUAUAUUAGUCUAUUAUCAAAAAAAAUCUUGGAACUUACACCUCGUGUCUUGGGGUUAACAUUUUGUCGCAUGAUGCGAUUUGGACAAAUUUGCUUGAAGUUGAUUAAAAGGGUUUUUGGUAUUUAAAUUUUGUGAGUAGAAAUUAUUAUUUCACUUGAACUAGUUUUCACAUAAGCUUUUCAACUUCAAAAUUUUAAGUUUAAAUUAAAAUAAUAAAAACAAAAAUUAUACAAUAAUAUUUCAAUAUUUGGGAAUAAUGUUUGGUUUGAAGUUAUAUCACAAUGCCAAAUUCGUCUUUUCCACAUGAUGUUCUACGAUUGAGGUAUUACUUUAAACAUUUAAAAUCUUCACCCAAACUCAUCACAGUGACAGAAUUGGGAGCCAGCAAUUUUCCCUUGCAGUUUGGCACGUGGAAUAUGUCUUGGCAAAAUGGAAGAAAUAUCGUAAUCUCCUUUAAUUCGAGCACGCAAACUAUAGUUUUGUUUAAUUCAUCACAAAAUUCAGUUUUUAGAUGUAGCAUUUUUUAUUUUUUUCUUAAAUGUAGGAAUUAGAAGAGGAAAGUAUGAUAGCAGAGGUUCUAAACAAUUUUAAAAGUGCAAUAUCAUUUUUAUAGGAUAAUUCUGAAUUUUGAUAGGUCAUCAAAGCUUAUAUUUUGGUAGUUGAUAUAUUAAAUUUUAGGGAUAAACAUUGCAUUUAUUCAAACUAAAAGAAAAUUAUUACUUAGGAAUAACAUUAAAAAAGCAAAUAGUUUAAGAACCUUUGGGACGGUUAACUCUAAGCGGAGUUCUUCAGGAAAAAAAAUGGAGUGUAAUUUAAAAAGAAAUAUCACUUGUUGUAGAUGUCGAUGCUUUUCUAAACGUCUGGAGGGGAGGGGAUAGAGAAACAUAAAUUAUAUUAAUGAUGUUUAAAAUAAUAAAGGUGAAAAAACAUCUAAGAAUGAUACAUAUUUAAAUCAUGAAUAUGAUCUUAGAGAUGGAAAUUAGCACAAAACGAAUUACUAUAAGUAGGGUGAAACAGACUUACUUUGCCAAUGAAUAUCACUGUUGGAAACUUGUAAAUAUAUUUCAUUCUCAUUAUAAGAAAUCAAGAUUUGUCUCCAUGCACUGCUCAUAAUAACUAAAAUUUGAACUCUUUUGUAAUGAGGCUAGGAUAUAUUACACAAAGCAUACAUUACGUUAACAGAAGCAAUUCCUUAAAACUGGUAUACAAUACAACCUUUCUCUGCUGAUCGAGCAGUAACUAAACUUUUUAAGUUGUUAGUUGAAGACCUGGUGGAACUGGAACUUCAUUAGAAUGUCCAGAGAUGCAGAGAUUGCCAUGAUUAUCCUGUUCCCAAUAAACCUCAACCAUAAGCCCUCGAGGGUUCUCCGAGGAUGUUGUCCCAGGGAUCUCUACAUACUUCGAUCCUUAGGGUACCUUCAUUGCAUUGUAAGGCCAAUUAGUGACUUUGUUUUGGAAAAUUUCAUCUUUUCUCAG